rnacentral:rRNA from 1 species
AAAGGAGUGAUCCGGCAGAGGAUGGACAUGCGGCGCAUUAGCUAGUCGGCGGGGUAACGGCCCACCGAGGCUACGAUGCGUAGGGGUUCUGAGAGGAAGGUCCCCCACACUGGUACUGAGACACGGACCAGACUCCUACGGGAGGCAGCAGUGAGGAAUAUUGGUCAAUGGGCGGAAGCCUGAACCAGCCAAGUCGCGUGAGGGAAGACGGUCCUAUGGAUUGUAAACCUCUUUUGCAGGGGAGCAAGGCGCGGUACGUGUACCGCGAAGGAGAGUACCCUGAGAAAAAGCAUCGGCUAACUCCGUGCCAGCAGCCGCGGUAAUACGGAGGAUGCGAGCGUUAUCCGGAUUUAUUGGGUUUAAAGGGUGCGCAGGCGGACUGUUAAGUCAGCGGUAAAAUGUCGGUGCUCAACACCGGCCGGCCGUUGAAACUGGCAGCCUUGAGUGAGCGAGAAGUAUGCGGAAUGCGUGGUGUAGCGGUGAAAUGCAUAGAUAUCACGCAGAACUCCGAUUGCGAAGGCAGCAUACCGGCGCUCAACUGACGCUCAGGCACGAAAGCGUGGGUAUCGAACAGGCUUAGAUGCCCUGGUAGUCCACGCAGUAAACGAUGAAUGCUCACUGUCCGGGCCGUUUAAGGCCUGG